CUAUCUUGUAACUAACUACUGACUAGCAUUUAUAGUUUGAUUGUAAUUUGUAUUAAUUAUAUUAUAUGCAGACUGCCUUACCCGAACGUAUGUGUUGUAUGAUGUAAUUAUACACUAAUUAUAUUCAGACUUCCAUGUGAUAUGUACUUUAUAAUACCACUACGUAACAAUAAUAUACAAAUUAGAAUCUGAUGCAUAAUAUUACUAGAUUCUAAUUAUAUUAAGAAUGCUAGGUCAUAGGUGUGAUGUCUCAAAUUUGUUAAUUAUAUCAAGAUAUCCAUGUGAUGGCAAUGUUAU